GCAAAAUUGACAGGUUCAGUAACAUUACGGAGUGAAGAGAAUGAUCAAUACCUUGUACUGAGGUGUGUCAUGGGUGCUGUCAUUAGAAUUAGUAAGCUAUAAGUUACUUUGUAUUAAAAGGGUUUGCAAUCACCAAAUAUGACCUUCGUAAUUAUUUGCAUGAAAGAUCAUUUUAUGUAUUUGGAUACAUCUUCAUAAUUACAUUAUUUUGUUGACCACGAAGAAUCAAUAAACACUAUUACAUAAAGCUGUAUCCAAAUCACACCAACUGAUUUUCAUGCA